rnacentral:rRNA from 1 species
ACCGGCGGCUCGAGUGGUGGCCACUAUUACUGGGCUUAAAGCGUUCGUAGCUGGCUUGUUAAGUCUCUGGGGAAAUCUUCCGGCUUAACCGGAAGGCGUCUCAGGGAUACUGGCAGGCUAGGGACCGGUAGAGGUGAGGGGUACUCCAGGGGUAGGAGUGAAAUCCGGUAAUCCUUGGGGGAACACCUGUGGCGAAGGCGGCUCACCAGAACGGCUCCGACAGUGAGGAACGAAAGCUUGGGGAGCAAACCG